UGGUCCAUGGUGUAAUGGCAGCACAAGGGUUUUUGGUGCCCUUGGUCUAGGUUCGAAUCCUGGUGGACCAG
rnacentral:tRNA from 1 species